CCUACGGGAGGCAGCAGUAGGGAAUCUUCCGCAAUGGACGAAAGUCUGACGGAGCAACGCCGCGUGAGCGAUGAAGGCCUUCGGGUCGUAAAGCUCUGUUGUCAGGGAAGAACAAGUACCGGAGUAACUGCCGGUACCUUGACGGUACCUGACCAGAAAGCCACGGCUAACUACGUGCCAGCAGCCGCGGUAAUACGUAGGUGGCAAGCGUUGUCCGGAAUUAUUGGGCGUAAAGAGCGUGUAGGCGGCCGGUUAAGUCAGGCGUGAAAGCCCAGGGCUCAACCCUGGAAGUGCGUUUGAAACUGGUCGGCUUGAGUUCGGGAGAGGGAAGCGGAAUUCCGGGUGUAGAGGUGAAAUUCGUAGAUAUCCGGAGGAACAUCGGUGGCGAAGGCGGCUUCCUGGACCGAAACUGACGCUGAGACGCGAAAGCGUGGGGAGCAAACAGGAUUAGAUACCCUGGUAGUCCACGCUGUAAACGAUGGGCGCUAGGUGUGGGGGGUUUUUAAUCCCUCCGUGCCGCAGUUAACGCAUUAAGCGCCCCGCCUGGGGAGUACGGCCGCAAGGUUAAAACUCAAAGGAAUUGACG
rnacentral:rRNA from 1 species